rnacentral:snRNA from 1 species
GUGCAGUUAGCUUGAGCAGCACAUGUACUAAAAUAGGAAGAAUACAGAGAAGAUUAGCAUGGCCCCUCUGCAAGGAGGAGGCGCAAAUCCGUGCAGCCUUUAAAAAAAUG